GACCGCGAGGUGGAGCGAAUCCCGAAAACGGACGGUCUCAGUUCGGAUUGCAGGCUGCAACCCGCCUGCAUGAAGUCGGAAUUGCUAGUAAUCGCGGAUCAGCAUGCCGCGGUGAAUACGUUCCCGGGCCUUGUACACACCGCCCGUCACACCAUGAGAGCCGGUAACACCCGAAGUCAGGAGCCUAACCGCAAGGGGGGCACUGCCGAAGGUGGGAUUGGUGAUUAGGGUGAAGUCGUAACAAGGUACC
rnacentral:rRNA from 1 species